AAGGUCGUGUUCAAAGACUAACAAGUAGGCAAGUAUAUAGAUAAAGUAUUUGAACCCAGUGCUUUGGACAUGCUAGAAAGUGUUGCUCCACUAAGUAACAUUCCCAGCCUCUUCUCUUUUUAUAAAGGAUGUCUCAUUCUAUUUCCCAGGCUAGCCCCACACUCCUAUCAAACUUCCUGCCUCAACCUUCUGAGUUGCUUUUUCACAUGCCUUAAACCAAGUCUAAAUUACUUAAUUAUCUAGCAUAAUAUAAAUAGCUGUUGCACUGGGAUCAGAGGCUGGGGCCACAGCUUACUGAAAGAACACAUGCUUAGCAGAAUCCAGGCAGAUCUGGGUUCCAAG